AUCCUUUUGUAGUUUGUAAGCAUGACAACUGGGUUUUCAUCCUCUUGUGUGAGGUGUGCCUCCCUCAAACCUUGUUACAUAGGCACAUUAUCUUUCUGGUA